rnacentral:rRNA from 1 species
GCUGGCGGCACGCCUAACACAUGCAAGUCGAGCGGGGUAGCAAUACCUAGCGGCAGACGGGUGCGUAACAUGUGGGAAUCUGCCUUUUGGUUCGGAACAACACGGGGAAACCUGUGCUAAUACCGGAUAAGUCCUAACGGAGAAAGUUUUAAUGCCAAAAGAUGAGCCCGCAUUUGAUUAGCUAGUUGGUGAGGUAAAAGCUCACCAAGGCGAUAAUCAAUAGCUGAUUUGAGAGGAUGAUCAGCCACACUGGGACUGAGAUACGGCCCAGACUCCUACGGGAGGCAGCAGUGGGGAAUCUUGCACAAUGGGCGAAAGCCUGAUGCAGCGAUGCCGCGUGAGUGAAGAAGGCCCUUGGGUUGUAAAGCUCUUUUGUCGGGAAAGAUAAUGACUGUACCCGAAGAAUAAGGUCCGGCUAACUUCGUGCCAGCAGCCGCGGUAAUACGAAGGGACCUAGCGUAGUUCGGAAUUACUGGGCGUAAAGAGUAUGUAGGCGGCUAGAUAAGUUAAUUGUGAAAGCCCAAAGCUUAACUUUGGAAUUGCGAUUAAAACUAUUUAGCUAGAGUAUGAUAGAGGAAAGCGGAAUACAUAGUGUAGAGGUGAAAUUCGUAGAUAUUAUGUAGAACACCAGUUGCGAAGGCGGCUUUCUGGAUCAUUACUGACGCUGAGAUACGAAAGUAUGGGUAGCGAAGAGGAUUAGAUACCCUCGUAGUCCAUACCAUAA